ensembl:lncRNA
CCCCGGGGCAACGUGACUCCUGUAUGUCCAGCGUCCUCCACUACCGUGUCCUUUUCCGUCCAGGAGCAUCCAUGUGCCCUGACUUCUGUAGCCACACACGGGCAGGUCAUGCAAGUCAUAAACAGAAUGGCACCGUGUGGUCACAGGGCAUCCACAGCAAACAGCUGAUCAAAAGACGACAGCAUGUUUAUAGGAAGUCUAAGGGAUAGCCAGUGAAGCUGAGACUCAGAGCCUCAUGCCCAAGGUUAUCAGUCCUCUGGGCCUGAAGCCAGAUCAAAGCCAGCCUCCCCUCAAACAUAUCUCUCUGUACCUGUGACUCCUCUGCACCGAAUUGUUCAUUCAAACAAAGGUGUCUCUACAGGC